GACGAACGCUGGCGGCGUGCUUAACACAUGCAAGUCGAACGGAAAGGCCCUGCUUUUGUGGGGUGCUCGAGUGGCGAACGGGUGAGUAACACGUGAGUAACCUGCCCUUGACUUUGGGAUAACUUCAGGAAACUGGGGCUAAUACCGGAUAGGAGCUCCUGCUGCAUGGUGGGGGUUGGAAAGUUUCGGCGGUUGGGGAUGGACUCGCGGCUUAUCAGCUUGUUGGUGGGGUAGUGGCUUACCAAGGCUUUGACGGGUAGCCGGCCUGAGAGGGUGACCGGCCACAUUAGGACUGAGAUACGGCCCAGACUCCUACGGGAGGCAGCAGUGGGGAAUAUUGCACAAUGGGCGGAAGCCUGAGGCAGCAACGCCGCGUGCGGGAUGACGGCCUUCGGGUUGUAAACCGCUUUCGCCUGUGACGAAGCGUGAGUGACGGUAAUGGGUAAAGAAGCACCGGCUAACUACGUG
rnacentral:rRNA from 1 species